rnacentral:ncRNA from 1 species
GAAAGCCGUAUACCUCGAGAGGGGUACGUACGGUUUGGGAGGGAGUGAGCCGAAACCUAUCGGAAUUCCGACAAGGCGCGGCGAUCUUACCUCAU